rnacentral:rRNA from 1 species
UAGGGAAUCUUCCACAAUGGGCGCAAGCCUGAUGGAGCAACACCGCGUGAGUGAAGAAGGGUUUCGGCUCGUAAAGCUCUGUUGUUAAAGAAGAACACGUAUGAGAGUAACUGUUCAUACGUUGACGGUAUUUAACCAGAAAGUCACGGCUAACUACGUGCCAGCAGCCGCGGUAAUACGUAGGUGGCAAGCGUUAUCCGGAUUUAUUGGGCGUAAAGAGAGUGCAGGCGGUUUUCUAAGUCUGAUGUGAAAGCCUUCGGCUUAACCGGAGAAGUGCAUCGGAAACUGGAUAACUUGAGUGCAGAAGAGGGUAGUGGAACUCCAUGUGUAGCGGUGGAAUGCGUAGAUAUAUGGAAGAACACCAGUGGCGAAGGCGGCUACCUGGUCUGCAACUGACGCUGAGACUCGAAAGCAUGGGUAGCGAACAGGAUUAGAUACCCUGGUAGUCCAUACCGUAAACGAUGAGUGCUAGGUGUUGGAGGGUUUCCGCCCUUCAGUGCCGGAGCUAACGCAUUAAGCACUCCGCCUGGGGAGUACGACCGCANNGGUUG